rfam:Felis catus isolate Cinnamon breed Abyssinian chromosome B1, whole genome shotgun sequence.
GCCUGGGUGACUCAGUUGGUUGGGCGUCUGACUUCAGCUCAGGUCAUGAUCUCACAGUUCGUGAGUUCAAGCCCCACAUCAGGCU